AACGAACGCUGGCGGCGCGCCUAAUACAUGCAAGUCGAGCGAGAAGACGUAGCAAUACGUUUGUAAAGCGGCGAACGGGUGAGGAAUGCAUGGGUAACCUACCCUCGAGUGGGGAAUAACUAGCCGAAAGGUUAGCUAAUACCGCGUACGCUCCUUGGACUUCGGUUCAGGGAGGAAAGCGAUACCGUGGGUAUCGCGCUCUUGGAUGGGCUCAUGUCCUAUCAGCUUGUUGGUGAGGUAACGGCUCACCAAGGCUUCGACGGGUAGCUGGUCUGAGAGGACGAUCAGCCACACUGGCACUGCGACACGGGCCAGACUCCUACGGGAGGCAGCAGUAAGGAAUAUUGCGCAAUGGGCGAAAGCCUGACGCAGCGACGCCGCGUGGGGGAUGAAGGUCUUCGGAUUGUAAACCCCCUUUCGGGAGGGAAGAUGGAACGAGCAAUCGUUCGGACGGUACC
rnacentral:rRNA from 1 species